rnacentral:rRNA from 1 species
GACUGUGGGGGAUAAGCUUCAUAGUCGAGAGGGAAACAGCCCAGAUCGCCGGUUAAGGCCCCUAAGGGUGUGCUAAGUGGAAAAGGAUGUGGGAUCGCGAAGACAGCCAGGAGGUUGGCUUAGAAGCAGCCAUCCUUGAAAGAGUGCGUAAUAGCUCACUGGUCGAGUGGUUCUGCGCCGACAAUGUAGUGGGGCUCAAGCACACCGCCGAAGCCGCGGCAAUAAUAUUUUGUUAUUGGGUAGGGGAGCGUCGUGCACGUGUUGAAGCGUUACCGUGAGGAGGCGUGGAGUGUGUGCGAGUGAGAAUGCAGGCAUGAGUAACGAAUUGGAAGGUGAGAAUCCUUCCCGCCGGAUGACUAAGGGUUCCUGGGUCAAGUUCGUCUUCCCAGGGUGAGUCGGGACCUAAGGCGAGG